CACGUAGGGUGCGAGCGUUGUCCGGAAUUAUUGGGCGUAAAGAGCUCGUAGGCGGUGUGUCGCGUCGGCCGUGAAAACCUGCAGCUUAACUGUGGGCUUGCGGUCGAUACGGGCAUCACUGGAGUUCGGCAGGGGAGACUGGAAUUCCUGGUGUAGCGGUGAAAUGCGCAGAUAUCAGGAGGAACACCGGUGGCGAAGGCGGGUCUCUGGGCCGAUACUGAC
rnacentral:rRNA from 1 species